CACGGGGGGGGCAAGCGUUGUCCGGAAUUAUUGGGCGUAAAGGGCGCGUAGGUGGGAUGAUUAGUCUGAGGUGCAAACUUACGGCUUAACUGUAAGCUUGCCUUGGAAACUGUCAUUCUUGAGUUCGGGAGAGGGAAAUGGAAUUCCUGGUGUAGCGGUGAAAUGCGUAGAUAUCAGGAAGAACACCGGUGGCGAAGGCGGUUUCCUGGCCCGAUACUGACACUGAGGCGCGAAAGUGCGGGGAG
rnacentral:rRNA from 1 species